UUAUUCAACAAAGGUCUGACAAGAACAUACAUCAAACCACCCAAAGCCCCCUCUCACACCUACAAACCGUGAUAAUGUGGAGUGCUCUCACUCCCCAUAUCUAAAUCCGGUGUCGUCUCCGAUCCAACCACGUCUCCGAUCCAACCACAUGACGUAUCGGAACUCACAACCGGUGCAGCAGACCUAAAGCGUACACCACAUGCACACGUUUUAGAAGCCGC
rnacentral:lncRNA from 1 species